rnacentral:rRNA from 1 species
AUGAGUCUCCUCAGCUGAAAUUGUCGAGGAGUGGGUAAUAAAUCGAUAGUUCAUGACCUGGUAGCGCUCUCAAAGGCUGUCGGAGUGAGUUUUAUUUUUCUUUGUGAAACUAGGCAAAAAGCAGAAAAAGUCCAUUGUCUUCGAGGAAGAUUAGCUCUGAAUAGUUUUGCCGGUUUUGAUAGAGAUGGUCUCAGUGGUGGUCUAGGGUUGUUUUGGAACGACCUAAUGCACGUUGAAAUAAAGGAUGUUAAUGAGAGGUAUAUUGAUGUUUAUGUGUGUGUGUCUGAAGGAGCCCGUCUUUGGCGUCUCACCUGUGUGUAUGGAGAGCCGAGAGUGGAAAAUCGUCAUCACAUGUGGUCUCUUUAUGCAAACAUUAAAAGCCCAAUCAGAUCUUCCUUUGUGUGUCUUGGGGGAUUUUAA